CCUACGGGUGGCUGCAGUGGGGAAUAUUGGACAAUGGGCGAAAGCCUGAUCCAGCAAUGCCGCGUGAGUGAUGAAGGCCUUAGGGUUGUAAAGCUCUUUUACCAGGGAUGAUAAUGACAGUACCUGGAGAAUAAGCUCCGGCUAACUCCGUGCCAGCAGCCGCGGUAAUACGGAGGGAGCUAGCGUUGUUCGGAAUUACUGGGCGUAAAGCGUACGUAGGCGGUUAUUCAAGUCAGAGGUGAAAGCCUGGAGCUCAACUCCAGAACUGCCUUUGAAACUAGGUAGCUAGAAUCACGGAGAGGUUAGUGGAAUUCCGAGUGUAGAGGUGAAAUUCGUAGAUAUUCGGAAGAACACCAGUGGCGAAGGCGACUAACUGGACGUGUAUUGACGCUGAGGUACGAAAGCGUGGGGAGCAAACAGGAUUAGAUACCCUAGUAGUC
rnacentral:rRNA from 1 species